UUGUUUCGUUCGAAUCGAAAGCUAAAAUUUAAUCAUUUAUAAAAUAGUAUAUAUGUAUAUAAUAUAUAUGUAAUAUAAUAUAUAUAUAUAGUUUAAAUGGCUUGGGACAUUUUCAGAGUUCGAGCACAUUGAAGACGUUAGGGUUUUAACACAGGAUAUUAUAGAACGGCAUCGACACACAACUGACAAGUUACUUUAUAUAUAUAUACAAUACACUGGAUAUGUUUGCUUCCGUUAUGUUUUUGAUGAUUGACAACGCUUGACAACGGCGAUGUGUUAUGGCCGUUUCACCAACUAAGGCUUCAAGCUCAUUGCAUUCAGUGUUGGAAAACGUUGAAUUCCGUUGGAAAAGUUCCUCGAUUUAUGGAUUCGUUUAAACUGUUAAAUCAUAUUCCAAGCAAAUAAAACAAGAAAUGAAAAUAAACACAGAUCAGAAAAAAAUUGUUUCUGUGCAAUGCGAACAGUGUUGGGUAACGUCUGAAGCAA